rnacentral:rRNA from 1 species
AGCGGCGGACGGGUGAGUAACGCGUGGGUAACUGCCUCAUACAGGGGGAUAACAGUUGGAAACGGCUGCUAAUACCGCAUAAGCGCACAGUACCGCAUGGUACGGUGUGAAAAACUACCGGUGGUAUGAGAUGGACCCGCGUCUGAUUAGCUAGUUGGUGGGGUAACGGCCUACCAAGGCGACGAUCAGUAGCCGACCUGAGAGGGUGACCGGCCACAUUGGGACUGAGACACGGCCCAA